UACGGAGGGUGCAAGCGUUAUCCGGAUUCACUGGGUUUAAAGGGUGCGUAGGUGGCUUGGUAAGUCAGUGGUGAAAUCUCCAAGCUUAACUUGGAAACUGCCGUUGAUACUAUCAUUCUUGAAUAUCGUGGAGGUAAGCGGAAUAUGUCAUGUAGCGGUGAAAUGCUUAGAUAUGACAUAGAACACCGAUUGCGAAGGCAGCUUGCUACACGAUCAUUGACACUGAGGCACGAAAGCGUGGGGAGCAAACAGG
rnacentral:rRNA from 1 species